UUCGAAUUAUUUUGUUUAUUUUAAUGGAAAAUGGAGGCAUUGGGUAUUUUUAUGUGCGAUUUCAAAUGACUUAAGGCAAGUUUUGAAUUCUUUUGUUAAUUCAGAUGAAAAAUGGAGGCAUUGGGUAUUGAUGGUUCUCCUCUCUGGUCAAUCCACCUUGUGUAUAAUCUGUGUUUCUUGAAUUUUAUUGGGGUUGGAAGCAACCUGAUUUGAAUAUAUGUAAAGAUGCCUCUUUGUUGUUCACAUUCUGUUCCAAAUCAUUCGUUGGAAGGUUUUCUGCCGAGAAAAUGGCGUUUCUAGGGCUAUUGUGAAUGAUAGCAACAGCAGUGAACACUGAGAAUUCCAGAAUCUUUCAGCGAAGAUUAUUUUGGCAAUGAAUUUGGGUCUAGGGUUUACAUUGUGCCACAUAAUUUGCUGAGAUAAAAGUCUUUUCAAUAAAGUAGGGUUUCAUUUUAAGCAGCUUUCUCAUUUUCUGAAGGUUGGUAUGAACACCUGGUGAUGUGAUUGUUCAUUAAUAGACCUCUGAGGCAGAUGAAAAAAGGUUGAAAUAGUCAGAAUUAUCAUUUCUGUGGAUUUGAAAUGUGGCAAUGACAUUGAUUGACAUAUAGAAAUGGUUAUUUUCUUCAA